CUGUUGCAAAAAUAUUCUCCUACAAGUAGUUGCUUGGUUCAGGAGAGGGAGAGGCUCCUCUGCCUGCAGUAACAAGGAGAGGCUGGAUCUUGCUCCGUCAGUCACCCAGGUAGCAGCGGUGUCAGCUUAGCUCACAGUAGCCUCAAACUCCUGGGCUCAAGUGAUGAUCCUCCCGCCUUAGCCUCCUGAGUGGCUGGGACUGCAGGCAUGAGCCACUGUACCCAGGUUUCAGGCUUGGUCUCUGUGACCAAGAGAAGACAGAAGACGUGGUGGUAUAUCCCUUGCAAGUUGCAGUUAAAAGAUUCUGUGGCUUCAGAGUUGGGCUGUCUUUCUCUCUCUUGGAUCGCUCACUCUGGAGGAAGCCUGCUGCCAAAUUUCGAGGACACUCAGGCAGGCUUUGGAGAGGCCCACAUGGAGAAGUGAGUCCGCCAAGAACCGUGGGAGUGAGCUGGAAAGCGCAUCCUGCAGCCUCAGAUGACUGCAGCCUGGUGGAGACCCAGAGCCAGAGUACCCUGCUGAGCUGUGAUUGAGUUCCUGACCCACAGAUGCUGUGGGGUAAUAAA